CCUACGGGUGGCAGCAGUGAGGAAUAUUGGUCAAUGGGCGCGAGCCUGAACCAGCCAAGUAGCGUGAAGGAUGACUGCCCUACGGGUUGUACACUUCUUUUAUCAAGGAAUAAAGUGAGGCACGUGUGCCUUUUCGUAUGUACCUUAUGAAUAAGGAUCGGCUAACUCCGUGCCAGCAGCCGCGGUAAUACGGAGGAUCCGAGCGUUAUCCGGAUUUAUUGGGUUUAAAGGGAGCGUAGAUGGGUUGUUAAGUCAGUUGUGAAAGUUUGCGGCUCAACCGUUAAAUUGCAGUUGAUACUGGCAGCCUUGAGUACACUUGAGGUAGGCGGAAUGCGUGGUGUAGCGGUGAAAUGCUUAGAUAGCACGAAGAACUCCGAUUGCGAAGGCAGCGUACUAAACUGCCACUGACAUUGAUGCUCGAAAGUGUGGGUAUCAAACAGGAUUAGAUACCCGGGUAGUC
rnacentral:rRNA from 1 species